rnacentral:rRNA from 1 species
UACGGAGGGGGCUAGCGUUGUUCGGAAUUACUGGGCGUAAAGCGCGCGUAGGCGGACCUGCAAGUCGGGGGGUGAAAGCCCGAGGCUCAACCUCGGAACUGCCUUCGAUACUGCGGGUCUCGAGUCCGGGAGAGGUGAGUGGAAUUCCUAGUGUAGAGGUGAAAUUCGUAGAUAUUAGGAAGAACACCAGUGGCGAAGGCGGCUCACUGGCCCGGUACUGACG